rnacentral:lncRNA from 1 species
ACCACUUAGAGAAAUCCCAGAAAACGUGCAGCAAUUGAAUGAAAUCCGAAACCAGCUUUAGAUUCUGUUUUUAUUUUAUUUUAGUUUUAGUUUUUCUUCUUGUUUUGGGGGUUCUUUGUUUUUGUUUUCAAAUCUGAAAAUCAGAGAUUGAAUCUAGAUUUUGGUAUGAGAAAAUGAGAAGAAAGUGAGGAAUUGUGUGUGUGAAGGUGGCGGCUCCCAUGGUUUUUUGAGCGAGGGGAUCCGGUUCUUCAGAGGAAAUGGCGUUAGGGGAGGCGGCUGCUAGUAGGGUUUUUUGGUGUAGAAGAUAGAUGGGGUCUGUUUGAGAGAGAAGGGGAAUUGGGGGGCGGCUAGGGUUAGGUAAUGGGGGGGGGGGGGGUGGUCCGUCUCUCUAAGGGAUUUGGGGAAGAUGGAGUUAUAAUGAGUGAGGGGAAG